GUCAGAUGAUUUGAAAUGAUAAUGCUGAUGCUCUGUGAGGUAUGACAGUUAAUAAAGCAUGUUAGAGUUCUGAUGACA